ACAAAAAUACAUUGUUAUUCAUCGUGUACUUUUAAAAUACAGCAGUAUUACAUAUUGGAUAUUUCACUUAAUAGAUCAUAUGGUGGGUAGUAGAUGAAAGUGUCCCUUUUUACAUUCACUGUUAUUCCAGAGAGAACUACAUUAUUAAGCCUAAUGCUAAUACUGAUUUUCUAAACUCGCAUGAAGAAGACUGUUCAUAUACAGGUUAGAAACUCAAAGUUGCAAAAAUGUUUCUGCUGGAAUAUCAACAAUCUGAAAAUUUUUCAUAUAUGGAAAUCACAAAACCAUUAUACAAAAGUACAUCAUUCACUUGAUUGGUUUGCUCUGAUUUUCAAAACAAAAGUAAGCUGGAUGGGUAAUAAUUUUUGACGUGCAAAAUUUGUAUAAAUUUCAAUUGUUUUACCCAACAGUAAUUUAUAUAAUGUGUGACCGAAAAAAGCAUGGAACUACUGAAUAGUUGAGAAGGAUUAGAACAAUUUAAAAGCAAGACAAAAUUAAUUGAAAUCUGUUUUGAAAGAUGAUGUGUGACUGUUGUUUUAUCAAAUUAGCUACAGUACUGGUUAUUUUUUUUUGUAGGACUGAGUCUAGCCCCUUGGUUAGUGUGGCAGACUAUGAAUCUGCAGGUUCAUUGUUUACAUUCCUUUACCAAAAAAUAAAAAGGAAACUUUUGCUCCACACUUUUUUUGGCUGUUGGUGCAUUAUAAGAGUAAUGGUCAAAUCUUGCUAUUCCACAGUCAAACAAGAGUUGUUAUUGGGUGCUGUUGAUUGAAUGACUUCCUUCUGGUCUAUCGUUUUAAAAUUAGGGACAGCUAGUGCAGAUAGCCCUUGAUUAGUCUUGCAUGAGUAUCAAAAGAGAAAAUUGUUUUUUAAACAAACCAUUGUAAUAUUAAGUGUAUUGCUUAUUUUACACAGUUGAGUAUCCUUACUUUGUUAGACUGUCUGAAAUGUACUUAACAUUAUACUACCAAAAGCAAAAGGUAGGGUUUAAAUGUCUGUAGCCACUAUUGAUGAUUGUUAUUUGUGGGUGUUUUUUUUUCUCCACUUGAGCACCAAACUGAUAAUGAUUCAUGUGAAACCUCAAAAUCCCAGUUCACUUUUACAGUUGUCAUCAAUCUUCAUGGCGUAUAUAUUAUAAUAAUUCUCAAUUUUUGUCAGUCUUGAAAAUGUGUGCUCACCUUACUAUGUAAAUUCUUCAUUUUAGUGGGUGAAAACAAAAAGUAGAUGUAAAUAUACUUUAGUAUACAUUUUGUACAACAACAUGUUAAAAGCUUAUCAAUGUCUAAUGUUAGGCUGUAAAAUAAGUUUAUUUAUUGAUUGUAUUAAGGACAGUAAAGUUUAGGCUUAACUAAAUUAAAGCAAAAAUGUACACAAGUUAAUGUUAUUUUAUCUUUUUUUUCAAAUAUGGCUGUACUUGGUAAAGGCUUAAAUAACUUGCUUAAGACAAGUGGACAUGUAGAUUUUGGUGUCUGUGAUUAGAAUUCUUUUGUAUUAUUCUAGAAAUCCUGUAUUUAAAGAAUGACUUGUAAUAAAACUAAUUUUAUUGUAAACAUUUUACGGGUCACUGCUAGUAAACCAUAUUACACGUAAAAUUGGAAAAAAAACGUUUAGACUCAUGAUAUGAAAACUCCAAUAUCAUGGAAAUAGUUCAUGCUUAAAAUAUCCAAAUAAGGUUUGUACUAUUCUCUAUUAUCUUUAGCAAACAAUGCAAAUCAGCAUUUUACACUAUAGAGCAUUUAACAUUUUUUUACAGAAACAACACAAAGCAUCUGUUUAAAGAUCUAUAUGUACAGUUGUUGUCAAGAGGUUCUGUAAAAAUGACAGCCAUAUUCAAGACAGAUGGUUCAAAAGAUAUGACAUGAAUGUUGUAUGGAAAAGAAUGUAUUUUUAUUGCAAAGCUCGAAUGAAAGCAUAGAAUUGAAAUAUGUUUGCUAUGGGGAAAGGUACCAGUACUAGAUGUUCAUACAACAGUAGCUGAAUUUAUUACUGACAUAGCUAGCUAAAUUCCAGAUGUGACGUAUAUAUGCACAUCACUUUAUGUUUACCCUUUUGACAAAAAGUUACAGUGACAGAAAUGUGUGAAACAUUGAAGAAAGCAUUUCUACACAGAGAAAAAUUUUGGCUGUGUUAUGUUACAGGAAUAAGUGUCAGGAUGCAUUUUGAUCAGUCAUUGUUAUAACUUUCUGUUUAACCUAAAUGCAAGUUACAAGCCCGCUCCAUUACAAAGGCAAAUGUCAAACAGCUGGUUGUUCACUGCUUGUAGGUGGUGAAUGUUUAAUUCUGGCAUUUGACAGUUUUAAAGUUUUAUUCAAAUUAGUUUCAUUGCUGCAGGACACUUCAAUUUUUAUCUUCUUGUAUUAUGUGGAAUGGCUUGUUUCAUUAAUAUAGAAAUUAUCCUAACAGUGGCUUAUGUUUUAGAUAGGUUUUCAUAUAGCUACCCAUACAACAGAAAACCUAUUUGUUAUUCUGUCAUUUUCUUAGCUCAGCAAAGAAACUGUUUUAUAUGUUUCAAGUAUGUAACAUGUAGAUGUGAAAAACUGAAUCCUUUAGCUAAGUAUAGUUAAGCUGGAAUUUUUUGGUUCACCCACCUUGUGAUGUAAUGUUGUGUAGUACACUUUCAUAAACAAUAAACUUCAUGGAUUCAAACUUU